GAUGAACGCUGGCGGCGUGCCUAAUACAUGCAAGUCGAGCGAACCACUUCGGUGGUGAGCGGCGAACGGGUGAGUAACACGUAGGUUAUCUGCCCAUCAGACGGGGACAACGAUUGGAAACGAUCGCUAAUACCGGAUAGGACGAAAGUUUAAAGGUGCUUCGGCACCACUGAUGGAUGAGCCUGCGGCGCAUUAGCUAGUUGGUAGGGUAAAGGCCUACCAAGGCGACGAUGCGUAGCCGACCUGAGAGGGUGAACGGCCACACUGGACUGAGACACGGCCCAGACUCCUACGGGAGGCAGCAGUAGGGAAUCUUCGGCAAUGGGCGAAAGCCUGACCGAGCAACGCCGCGUGAAUGAUGAAGGCCUUCGGGUUGUAAAAUUCUGUUAUAAGGGAAGAAUGGCUCUAGUAGGAAAUGGCUAGAGUGUGACGGUACCUUAUGAGAAAGCCACGGCUAACUACGUGCCAGCCGCCGCCGUAAUAC
rnacentral:rRNA from 1 species